rnacentral:lncRNA from 1 species
CUGUCAACUUGAAGGCGACUCUACAAACGUACUCACAAGCAGAGCAUUGUAUUGACAUGCCUGAAUCUAUUGUUACCAAUUUCGAAAAACAUAUGACUAGCAAAGCAACAACAACCAAAAAUCGAGUCAUGGUUCUAAACAACGGUACCUAAUAUAAAUAAAUUAAAGUAUGUUGCACAUAUGUUUAGCAACCAGAAAUCGAGUCAUGGUCAAACAACCGAACAAAUCAAAGUAUGCUUUAAGCAACAACAACCAAAAGUCUAGUCAUGGAUCCAAACAACCGUACCUAAAGAAAUAAGUCCAAACAACAAUAGGAGAUUCAAAUGUUCCCUUGACGCUUAGACCCAUUCCCUUGACGCUUCUUCAUAUACAGGGAGACUACAAUUCCUCCAACUAGUCCCGCUCCAAACAAGAGAAGUCUCCUCGUCAACUUUGAUGUCCACGGUUCCUGCACCCAGAAAAAAACAUUAGUUAACUGAUUUUAGUGAGUACUUA